rnacentral:rRNA from 1 species
GCGCGAAAACUUGGCAAUGCGAGAAAUCGUGACCAGGGAACUCCAAGUGGCUGGGGUAAGACCCAGUCUUUUCUUGACUCUUCAACGGUCUUGGAAUAAGGGGUGGGUAAGGACGGUGCCAGCCGCCGCGGUAAUACCGGCGCCUCAAGUGGUAGUCGCUUUUAUUGGGCCUAAAACGUCCGUAGCCGGUUUGGUACAUUCGUGGGUAAAUCAAGGCGCUCAACGUCUUGAAUUCUGCGAGCACGGCCAGACUUGGGACCGGGUGAGGUGUGGGGUACUCUCAGGGUAGGGGUAAAAUCCUGUCAUCCUGAGAGGACCACCUGUUGCGAAGGCGCCACACUAGAACGGAUCCGACGGUCAGGGACGAAGCCUAGGGGCACGAACCGGAUUAGAUACCCGGGUAGUCCUAGGUGUAAACGCUGCAAACUCGAUGAUGCGUUGGCUUGUUGCUAGCGCAGUGUCGCAGGGAAGCCGUUAAGUUUGCCGCCUGGGAAGUACGUACGCAAGUAUGAAACUUAA